rnacentral:rRNA from 1 species
CAGCGGAGGGAUCAUUACCGAGUUUACAACUCCCAAACCCCUGUGAACAUACCUUAUGUUGCCUCGGCGGAUCAGCCCGCGCCCCGUAAAAAGGGACGGCCCGCCGCAGGAACCCUAAACUCUGUUUUUAGUGGAACUUCUGAGUAUAAAAAACAAAUAAAUCAAAACUUUCAACAACGGAUCUCUUGGUUCUGGCAUCGAUGAAGAACGCAGCAAAAUGCGAUAAGUAAUGUGAAUUGCAGAAUUCAGUGAAUCAUCGAAUCUUUGAACGCACAUUGCGCCCGCCAGUAUUCUGGCGGGCAUGCCUGUUCGAGCGUCAUUUCAACCCUCAAGCCCAGCUUGGUGUUGGGAGCUGCAGUCCUGCUGCACUCCCCAAAUACAUUGGCGGUCACGUCGAGCUUCCAUAGCGUAGUAAUUUACAUAUCGUUACUGGUAAUCGUCGCGGCCACGCCGUUAAACCCCAACUUCUGAAUGUUGACCUCGGAUCAGGUAGGAAUACCCGCUGAACUUAAGCAU